GAGCUGCUGCUGCUGGGGAGAGGACUUGAGGGAGUCCUCUGGCCCCAGCACCAGGGCAGCCUGCCUGCACCCCAAACUCCUCAUCUCUGGCCCCACCCCAGAGCCCACACCCCUGGCCAGAGCC